GCUUAUUUUAUCCAGGAGUUCUAGGUAAGACCACUUUUUCAAAUAUCCUCUGAACGUUGACUUAGGUGCACACACCUGUGCUUCCAUUGGCAACAAAAGCUUUGAAUGCACAGGACUUCCACGGCAUGAAAUGCAUUUACAUACAUUACAUAAGAGAGAAGCAAUGAGCAAGUCUGUUGCUGGGAGAGGCUCACAUCCUUCUCACCAAAUCAAUCUGUAACUUUCAAAUAGCUCUGCUGUAUUUCCUAGCAACAGGAGUAAACACUGUACUACAUCCAGUGCCCAAGAUUUGUAACCACGUUAAUCUGUUAGAAGCCUAGAUGUGUGACUGGAGAUGCCUCCUGUCCAUUCAAUCUGACUCCAAUGUGGUUCUGCAGCACUGGACAAAGAUGGGAGAUUGAAACAGGAGCCCCUGCGAUGGGGGAACAGAGCCAGGGAGCAGGGGUUGGACAGAACCCAGGUUUGAGAAAACAACCUUGUGAACCUUCUAUUGGAGCAGCAAUAAAGAUCUGAGCUAAGUGUCGAGGGAGGCUGAGGAGGUGGUCACUAAGUCUGUCUUAGGCAUCCCAGGGUCUCCUCAGAGUCCAAGCCUGAAGUCCACUGCAGGGGUCACCAGCCACCUGUGGCCACAUUGGAAUGUGGCCAUUCUGAAUUGAGGAUUGAUGACCAAAGAAGGCAGCUAUAAUGUUUUAUUCUCAAGAUGAUGGUUACUCAUCUUAGAAUAAAAACAACAACAACAAAAAAUAACAGAUGAAUGGGAAGAGCCCAAUCAAAGCUUUAUUCUACUCCUCAACAACUCAGGAGUUAAGCCUAAAGCUGCAGAUGAAAAUUUUGCCACCAUGAAGAAAAGAAGAAAUCAGAAUUGGAUUCUUUCUGAACUUUUCCUUUACAGUAGCCAGUAUAUGCCCUUUCCUACUUGAGCAAGUAUAAACUGGGUUUCUGUGAUUUGCAACCAAGUGUCCUGACAAACACAAGGAUGAAAGACAACUGUGUCUCAAUAAAGGAAAAAUAGUUUAUUUUUAUGAGUGGUGGAUUUAAAAAACCUACAUUACUGUGACAAGAGUACCUUAAAACAUUUAAGUCUACAAAAGGCACUUAGGGACUUUAUAGCAAACUCUACACUUAUAAUGAAAAGCCAGACCAGAUCAUUUUAAAAAAACGUUACUGCACGAGAUAAUGGCACAUCCACUCGUUCAAUUAACAUUUAUUGAGUGUCUUCAGGGGUUUUAGACUUGUGCAAUAAAAAUGAUAAAAACGUAUUCUUUGGUUUGAGCUGGUCCAUCCAAGGUCGUUCCAUAAAGAGCAGCUGUGUAUGCUGUUCAGACUAAUUGUGUGAAGCUGGAGAGGCCAGGUGUUUCUGUCUGGCCCAGCAGCUGCACUUUGCGGUAAGGGCACCACCUGAAUUUCAGUCUGGCCAUAAAAUGAGGCUGAAGAAACAGCACCUUGCAUGAGCUUUUAGGUGAAAGGCAGAACAG
rnacentral:lncRNA from 1 species